AGCGAACGCUGGCGGCAGGCUUAACACAUGCAAGUCGAGCGCCCGUAGCAAUACGGGAGCGGCAGACGGGUGAGGAACACGUGGGAACGUACCCUUCAGUUCGGAACAACCCAGGGAAACUUGGGCUAAUACCGGAUAAGCCCUUACGGGGAAAGAUUUAUCGCUGAAGGAUCGGCCCGCGUCUGAUUAGCUAGUUGGUGAGGUAAUGGCUCACCAAGGCGACGAUCAGUAGCUGGUCUGAGAGGAUGAUCAGCCACACUGGGACUGAGACACGGCCAGACUCCUACGGGAGGCAGCAGUGGGGAAUAUUGGACAAUGGGCGCAAGCCUGAUCCAGCCAUGCCGCGUGUGUGAAGAAGGCC
rnacentral:rRNA from 1 species